CCCGCAGAAAUCUCCUGGUGGUCAGUCUCCUCUUCCCUGUCUUGGGUUCGCCAGUGAAAUCUUCAUUCUCUGCGGGACACUGGCUGCUCAGAGCAGCUUGGGACAGAAGCAAGAAAGGGAAAGAUGAGCAGACGAUGUAGAAGAAAUAAAGACUGACCACUGCAACUCCAUGUCUGGGAUUGCAAUGCAUCACCGCACCCAGCUGAAGCACCUUCAUUGGUUUCUACAGGAAAAGUUCUCCCUGUUGGCUGAUCCUUAGAUGCUGGGCUCCAUGGACUCAUCCAGCCCUGAAAUCCUGAGUCUGUCCCAUUCUCUCUCUUUCCUCUCAUCUCUGGUACUUCCUUCCUUGCCCCACCUUCUUCUCAGCCUUCCUUUUCUUUAAAAAGACCAUAAAGAUAAAAAAGAAAAAAACCUAUAAAAUAAACAUCUCUUGCUACCUCCUA